rnacentral:rRNA from 1 species
UACAGAGGGGGCAAGCGUUGUUCGGAAUUACUGGGCGUAAAGGGCGCGAUAGGCGGCCUGCUAAGUCGAAGUGAAAUCCCUGGGCUACAACCCCAGGAACUGCGUCCGAUACUGGUUGGCUUGAAUCCGGGAGAGGGAUGUGGAAUUCCAGGUGUGAGCGGUUGAAAUGCGUAGAUAUCUGGAGGAACACCGGUGGCGAAGGCGGCAUCCUGG